rnacentral:rRNA from 1 species
CCAAGGAUAUUCCCCAAUGGCCGAAAGGCUGAGGGAGCGACACCGCGUGAACGAAGAAGCCCUUCGGGGUGUAAAGUUCUUUUCUAUAGGAGCAAUCUUGAGUGUACUAUAGGAAUAAGCCGCUGCUAACUUCGUGCCAGCAGCCGCGGUAAGACGAAGGCGGCAAGCGUUAUCCGGAUUUAUUGGGCGUAAAGUGUGCGUAGGUGGUUUGUUAAGUUGGAUGUUAAAUCCCUGUGCUCAACAUAGGGGCCGCAUCCAAAACUGGCAGACUUGAGGUCGGGAGAGGCAAGCGGAAUUGUCGGUGUAGGGGUGAAAUCCGUUGAUAUCGACAAGAACACCAAAAGCGAAGGCAGCUUGCUAGAACGAUUCUGACACUGAGGCACGAAAGCGUGGGGAGCAAAAAGG